GACGAACGCUGGCGGCGUGCUUAACACAUGCAAGUCGAACGGAAAGGCCCAGCUUGCUGGGUACUCGCGUGGCGAACGGGUGAGUAACACGUGGGUUAUCUGCCCUCCACUUUGGGAUAAGCCUGGGAAACUGGGUCUAAUACCGGAUAUGAUCAACUGUCGCAUGGUGGUUGGUGGAAAGCUUUUGCGGUUGAGGAUGGGCCCGCGGCCUAUCAGCUUGUUGGUGGGGUAAUGGCCUACCAAGGCGACGACGGGUAGCCGACCUGAGAGGGUGAUCGGCCACACUGGGACUGAGACACGGCCCAGACUCCUACGGGAGGCAGCAGUGGGGAAUAUUGCAGAAUGGGCGCAAGCCUGAUGCAGCGACGCCGCGUGAGGGAUGACGGCCUUCGGGUUGUAAACCUCUUUCACCAGGGACGAAGCGUGAGUGACGGUACCUGGAGAAGAAGCACCGGCCAACUACGUG
rnacentral:rRNA from 1 species